AUUGAACGCUGGCGGCAUGCCUUACACAUGCAAGUCGAACGGUAACAGGUCUUCGGAUGCUGACGAGUGGCGAACGGGUGAGUAAUACAUCGGAACGUGCCCGAGAGUGGGGGAUAACGAGGCGAAAGCUUUGCUAAUACCGCAUACGAUCUCAGGAUGAAAGCAGGGGACCGCAAGGCCUUUCGCGCACGGAGCUGCCGAUGGCAGAUUAGGUAGUAGGUGGGAUAAAAGCUUACCAAGCCGACGAUCUGUGGCUGGUCUGAGAGGACGACCAGCCACACUGGGACUGAGACACGGCCCAGACUCCUACGGGAGGCAGCAGUGGGGAAUUUUGGACAAUGGGCGCAAGCCUGAUCCAGCAAUGCCGCGUGCAGGAAGAAGGCCUUCGGGUUGUAAACUGCUUUUGUACGGAACGAAAAGGCUCUGGUUAAUACCUGGGGCUCAUGACGGUACCGUAAGAAUAAGCACCGGCUAACUACGUGCCAGCCGCCGCCGUAAUAC
rnacentral:rRNA from 1 species